rnacentral:lncRNA from 1 species
UAACAGUUUUAAAACCAAUUAAUUUUAACUAAGAAACUGGUAUUUGGUAUAAGUCAAUGAGAGGAAUACAAUUCUAUAUAAAUUAUACGGGGGAUGGCUGUGUAAAGUAGUUUUUUAUACCGAAAUUUGCAUAUAAAGCCUCAAAAUCUGCAACACGGAAAACUAGAGCGAGGUGUUUGAGAAAACUGAGCACUGAAAACGACUGCUUCUGCUUUCAGGAAAUAGAUUAUGUUGCGGUUCCUUCCGUG